rnacentral:snoRNA from 1 species
AUGCAUCUCUGAUAGACCUGGAGCAGUUAAUGUCUGCUGCUAAGAUUUCCACUACAGAUGGAAGAUAAAGAAGGUUCUCGCACUUUCUGCCUGUCAGGUUGUGGCAGGCAAGAUUGAAUGGGGGAAUUCAGGA